rnacentral:rRNA from 1 species
GACGAACGCUGGCGGCGUGCUUAACACAUGCAAGUCGAGCGGUAAGGCCCCUUCGGGGGUACACGAGCGGCGAACGGGUGAGUAACACGUUAGCAAUCUGCCCAUCACCUCCGGAUAACUCCGGGAAACCGAAGCUAAUACCGAAUACGACCACCCCCGGCAUCGGAUGGUGGUGGAAAGUUCCGGCGGUGAUGGAUGAGCUCGCGGCCUAUCCGCUUGUUGGUGGGGUAACGGCCCACCAAGGCUUCGACGGGUAGCCGGCCUGAGAGGGUGACCGGCCACACUGGGACUGAGACACGGCCCAGACUCCUACGGGAGGCAGCAGUGGGGAAUAUUGGACAAUGGGCGAAAGCCUGAUCCAGCAACGCCGCGUGAGGGAUGACGGCCUUCGGGUUGUAAACCUCUUUCAGCAGGGACGAAGCGCAAGUGACGGUACCUGCAGAAGAAGCACCGGCCAACUACGUG